AUUGAACGCUGGCGGCAUGCUUUACACAUGCAAGUCGGACGGCAGCGGGGUAGUGCUUGCACUACUGCCGGCGAGUGGCGAACGGGUGAGUAAUAUAUUGGAACGUACCGAGUAAUGGGGGAUAACCAAUCGAAAGAUUGGCUAAUACCGCAUACGCUCUGAGGAGGGAAGCAGGGGACCUUCGGGCCUUGCGUUAUUCGAGCGGCCAAUAUCUGAUUAGCUAGUUGGUGGGGUAAAGGCCUACCAAGGCGACGAUCAGUAGCGGGUCUGAGAGGAUGAUCCGCCACACUGGGACUGAGACACGGCCCAGACUCCUACGGGAGGCAGCAGAGGGGAAUUUUGGACAAUGGGCGCAAGCCUGAUCCAGCCAUGCCGCGUGUCUGAAGAAGGCCUUCGGGUUGUAAAGGACUUUUGUUAGGGAAGAAAAAGGAGCGGUUAAUACCCGUUUCUGCUGACG
rnacentral:rRNA from 1 species